ACGGAAGGCAGCAGUGGGGAAUAUUGCACAAUGGGGGAAACCCUGAUACAGCGACGCCGCGUGAGUGAAGAAGUAUUUCGGUAUGUAAAGCUCUAUCAGCAGGAAAGAAAAUGACGGUACCUGACUAAGAAGCCCCGGCUAACUACGUGCCAGCAGCCGCGGUAAUACGUAGGGGGCAAGCGUUAUCCGGAUUUACUGGGUGUAAAGGGAGCGUAGACGGCUUUGCAAGUCUGAAGUGAAAGCCCGGGGCUCAACCCCGGAACUGCUUUGGAAACUGUAGAGCUAGAGUGCAGGAGAGGUAAGUGGAAUUCCUAGUGUAGCGGUGAAAUGCGUAGAUAUUAGGAGGAACACCAGUGGCGAAGGCGGCUUACUGGACUGUAACUGACGUUGAGGCUCGAAGGCGUGGGGAGCAAACAGGAUUAGAUACCCUGGUA
rnacentral:rRNA from 1 species